rnacentral:rRNA from 1 species
CCUACGGGCGGCAGCAGUGAGGAAUAUUGGUCAAUGGACGCAAGUCUGAACCAGCCAUGCCGCGUGCGGGAAGACGGCUCUAUGAGUUGCAAACUGCUUUUGUACGAGGGUAAACGCAGAUACGCGUAUCUGUCUGAAAGUAUCGGACGAAUAAGGAUCGGCUAACUCCGUGCCAGCAGCCGCGGUAAUACGGAGGAUUCAAGCGUUAUCCGGAUUUAUUGGGUUUAAAGGGUGCGUAGGCGGUCGGAUAAGUUAGAGGUGAAAUCCCGAGGCUCAACUUCGGACUUGCCUUUGAUACUGUUCGUCUAGAGAGUAGUUGCGGUAGGCGGAAUGUAUGGUGUAGCGGUGAAAUGCUUAGAGAUCAUACAGAACACCGAUUGCGAAGGCAGCUUACCAAGCUACUUCUGACGUUGAGGCACGAAAGCGUGGGGAGCAAACAGGAUUAGAUACCCGAGUAGUC